UUAUGCACUUUGGUUUCAUUAUUCAUAUCUCCAUAUACUGAUUUUUUCUAGAGGUUCUAUGUUGUUUGGAUCUGAUCAAGACGGCAUCAUCAUCAUUAGCCAAAUACCCAUUGUUACAUGAUGACUUUUAAGACGGUUCUGUUAUAAGGCAAUAUCUACAAUUACAAUUUUGUAUAGAAUCAAUUUUUACAAUUGUGAUACUAAAAAACAAUGCAACUGUAUUUGGCAAAAUCAUUAGCAUCUUCUUCUAUCUUCUCCACGACGCCUCUUCUCUCCUAUUAACUGUCGGUAUAGCUGGGGUUUUGACUAUAUUGGGGAUUUAUCGUACUGGUUGCUGUUGAUAAUUUUGGUACUCUUCUAGACAAUCUAGACCCCUGUUAUUGAAGCUCUGUUCUGACACAUACUACUCUUCUGGAGUCUGGACAAUCUAUAACUAGUUAAUGUUUUAUUUUCUUAUAUUGUAAGAAUAUAGCAAAUCUACCAAGGAUUAGCUCAGUGAGUAAAUGCAGAACAUGGUAUAAGGUGUUCUUAUAUUAUUUUGUGUUAGUGUUCAUGUUUUUUCUUUGCAGCUAAUUCUGCAAAUGUAUUAUAUGGUUGCUUCCCUUUGUAUUUUAUUGUUUCUUCUGCUGUUGAUGCAACUUCGAUUCUAUUUAUUUUUCGUUAUCAGCUAUGUAUUUUUAUGUUUUAUUAAUAGCAUUUCAUUUUAUUAGGAUAUAUCAUAGGUAAUGCAUGAGAGUUUAUGCAUUGUAUAGGAUGGACCAAAAUUUAUGUGACUAUGUUGAAAGUGGAUUAAAAUUUAUGUGACUAUGUUUUAGUUACUCGAACAAAGGGCCUUAUCUGUUUCAUAUACGUGACAUAAGGACGCUCAGACUAUCGAUAUCCACAGGCAAAAAAGUCACAACAUUAAAGAAUCUGGUUGCUGAUACUACGUUGCCGGAUAAAAGGCAAAGAAGUUGAAGCACCGGAGGCAGUUAAGCAUCCCUAAAAUGGAUCCAAAGAGAGGGUGAAAAAAGACGGUGUUGUGCUUGCAAUGUGCUUGCAAGUUGCAACAAGUGAUUGUAAUGGUGACUUUGCCACGAGAAUCAAGUCUUUUGGAUGUUUGCAAGGGAGCUUCGAAGCAAAAAGAUUUUGUUUAUAUGCUUACCAUGGUUUGGAGGACAUAGUCGCUACCCUAAGGAAAAGAAGAAGGCAGGUGAUGGAAGCAUCAAUAGAGAGGAACCUGCCACAAUUCAGAAAGUUUAAUUGAGGCUUCUUUUGUGUCAUCUCUCAGAUCCAUUAACCUUUUAUUUAGUAAUGUAGGAACUAGGUAGCUUAACCAAUGAUAUUCUUUUGUAACUACCAUCAAACAAUACCUACAAUUUAGUAUCUAAGAAUGAAGUCUGUUUACACUUAGUUCAUCAUUUAUUAACAUGUCUCCACAGCGAAGCAUGGGUAUGAUACCUAGCUAUAACAUAUAUCAAUACAUAUAUGAUAUAUCAACUUCUAUCAAAAAUAUCGUUUAUUUUUAUUGAAUAGUCAAAUCAAUAGUUAUCUUAUUUAUCAUGAAAAAUCAUCAAAGGGGACUGAAUACUUGAAUUUAUAAUGAAGUUAAGUUCAAUAAUUUUUGUUUUCAA